rnacentral:rRNA from 1 species
GGGGACAACCCGCCGAAAGGCGGGCUAAACCCGCGUACAUGCCACCGGGGCAUCCCGGAGGCAGGAAAGGCUUCGGCCGGACAGGGAUGGGCAUGCGGCGCAUUAGGCAGUAGGCGGGGUAACGGCCCACCUAACCGACGAUGCGUAGGGGUUCUGAGAGGAUGGUCCCCCACACUGGUACUGAGACACGGACCAGACUCCUACGGGAGGCAGCAGUGAGGAAUAUUGGUCAAUGGUCGGGAGACUGAACCAGCCAAGCCGCGUGAGGGAGGAAGGUACAGAGUAUCGUAAACCUCUUUUGUCAGGGAACAAAGACUGGGACGCGUCCCCGGAUGAGUGUACCUGAAGAAAAAGCAUCGGCUAACUCCGUGCCAGCAGCCGCGGUAAUACGGAGGAUGCGAGCGUUAUCCGGAUUUAUUGGGUUUAAAGGGUGCGCAGGCGGUCUGUUAAGUCAGCGGUCAAAGCCCGGGGCUCAACCCCGGCCCGCCGUUGAAACUGGCAGUCUCGAGUUGGAGAGAAGUAUGCGGAAUGCGCGGUGUAGCGGUGAAAUGCAUAGAUAUCGCGCAGAACUCCGAUUGCGAAGGCAGCAUGCCGGCUCCACACUGACGCUGAGGCACGAAAGCGUGGGUAUCGAACAGGAUUAGAUACCCUGGUAGUCCACGCAGUAAACGAUGAA